AUUGAACGCUGGCGGCAGGCCUAACACAUGCAAGUCGAGCGGAGCGGCGGACGGGUGAGUAAUGCCUAGGAAUCUGCCUGGUAGUGGGGGAUAACGUCCGGAAACGGGCGAUAAUACCACAUACUCUCAGAUGAGCCUAGGUCGGAUUAGCUAGUUGGUGGGGUAAAGGCCUACCAAGGCGACGAUCCGUAACUGGUCUGAGAGGAUGAUCAGUCACACUGGAACUGAGACACGGUCCAGACUCCGAAGUGAGGCUGCAGUGGGGAAUAGUGGACAAUGGGCGAAAGCCUGAGUCAGCCAUGCCGCGUGGGUGAAGAAGGUCUUCGGAUUGUAAAGCACUGUAAGUUGGGAGGCGUUACCAAUAGAAUAAGCACCGUCUAACUUCGUGCCAGCAGCCGCGGUAAUAC
rnacentral:rRNA from 1 species